rnacentral:lncRNA from 1 species
AUAUAUACAAGCCACCAUUCUCAUGAAUUAAUUUGAUUCAUCACAUAGAUAUAAAGUUAUAAAAAUGUUUAUUAAUUAUAUACAUAAAAUUCAUAAAACAAGUUUAAGAUUCAUAAAAAUUUAAUCAAUGUACUAAUAGAAUUUUUAACAAUCUCAUGAGAAUUGUUUUUGAAUCAAUUCCGUUUUGGGUCUCCCUCUCUCUCUCCUCAGCCUUUUCUCUUUACUCUGUUUUUUUCCUCUGAUUCACUCUGACUUUCAUCUGCAAGCAUUUUGAUCUUUCAAGCAGUUGCAUCUUCAAGAUCAGGUAAUUUCACCAUCAACACGAUCUUAGGCUUCCGUUUUUAAUUUGAUUCUCAUGUCAUGUGUGUUUUGUGUUUUAUGUGUGCAUGUUGUGUACUUUAAGACUGCGUUUUGGUUUGAUUCUCUCUCGCUGUGUGUGUGUUUAUGUCUAUUUUUUCAUACUAUUUUUCUCUCUUAUGUUCUAAACUCAGAUUUGUAUCUUCGUUAGGUUUCAUAUGUCCUUAAUUUGGCAUUGAUCCGCGAAUAUAGGCAUAGUAUCAAAACAUCGCAUUCAAGAUAUAUAAAAUUGAUUGAUAAGAUUUUAUUUCAGAAUUUUCAUUUAAAAGCUAUUUUGAGAUCAAAUUAAAUACUUAUGUCAUUCUUCUUUUAUUCUGCUUAAUUUUAAAAAUAAAAAAAUUUUAUGAGUUAGUGCUAUCUCUCUGGAAAAAAUGUCCCUUACACUAAUAUAGAGUAUUAGAUUUCCGUCCAUUCAUUUGAUGCUUUUGUAGUGGUCAAGAAACCAAACAAUCAUUAUCUUUUACAAACUUCAUUUCUUGUGAUAUUUAUGUUUACUAUUUCCUCUCUUCUAUAAUCACCACUCAUCCUUGACCUAACACAUAAAUGUUUAAAAAUCGCCUAAAAGCUGCAUAACACUUUGGUAAGCACCCUAAAAGAACUCUGAAAAUGGAAACAAAAGCAGAACCACCUGGACUCGGUUUUUAUAUGAACGUACAUAAAGUGGGCUACAAUGAGUGUAGAUCUUUGGCAUAGACAUUUGAGAGCCCGCCAUUUAUUCCAUCUAUGAUGUUUUCUUCCACAACAUGGGUGGUGAUUGAUGAUUGGUAUUGAAGUUUGUCGUCAUUUGGGGGGGAGUAUAGACAUUCUUUUGAUUGGUAUUUGAGACUUUUGUUUCUUGUGUUUUGUGCUUUUUGGGUAUCAGGUCAGUGCGAUGGCCAGAGAAAAUUCUGGGACAUAUUGCGCGGCAUAACUCAUUUCAUGGCCAGAGAAAAAGAAUACACCACUCAUAAAGAACUUUAAAACAUUGAGUUGCCAAGCAGCUGAACGUGAAAAACAAGUAGAAGCUGAACGAACUCAGAUCAGGAAAGAAAAGAAAGCGUGUAGUUUGACAAUUGGUUGGGAAACGUGAAAUGAUGGAAAAAUAACGUUCAAAAACUAGAAAAAAAUCGAGAAAGCAAAGCUUCACUCUAUCGGGAAAUCGUAUUGAUAAUUGAUUGAGAAAUUGAGGAGCUUUUCAUGAGGAAGGUAGAUUUGCCAGGUGGCCUUCUACUUGACACAUGUGAGAACACAGCAGAUCCACUAUUGGCCCAGAGUUAACAAUUACAUCUAAGCGAAACUUAGAAGAAAUUUUGGGAUGGAUUUCCUCAAAUGAAGGAUUAAGAAAACGGGGCACAAAACUGUCACAAACAUUGACAGGGGAAAAACCGUGUACUCAUUUGGUGAUUUAUGGAAUAAGAUUCCUCUAGAAUAAAGUUGGAAUCCCACAAAGUGGAAUGGACGUAAGACUUGUAAGCUGAUUCUGACAACUCGCUCACGGACAUAUGCCGUUGGAUAGGUUGGCCAAGAAAAAUUUCAAAGUGCAACCCUCUUGUUCUGAGGAAUAAGCUUGUGCAAUUUAUUUUGAAGAGACACUUGGCAGCAAACAGCCUUUCUCCUGAAGUAAGAGAUAUUGCUAUGUCUGUUGCAGCCAAGUGUUCAGGUUUGCACUGCGUCAUUAUUAGGUUACCAAUGGGUGGAAGCAUGAGAGAUGUUUAACGAAACAUUCAAGAGUGGAGUGAAUGUGUUGAAACAAUUGGAAGACUACAAUGUGCAGAAAUACAUGGAAAUGAGGUACACCGCCAUAUUGGAAUUAGUACAGUCAGGCUGAAGGAUGAUGUAAGUUGAAGCUAGUGUUUCUGUGUCUGUUGCUGGCGCGCUCCCUGAAGAUCAAAAUCUCUGAAAGUAGAUGAAUAUAAUUAAGCGCAUGUUUGAUUGCGAAGCUAAUGUUACGAAGGGAAUAGCUUUGGCAGCAAAGUUUGAAUCGGUAGGGCCAUCAGUACCUGUUGAGAUCAUCAUACACUCUCUAUUAGGUCCGUACUUACUGGAAGGUGUGAGAAUAUGUGGCUAGAUGUGUGAAGAUGCUAUGUAUUUGAUUAGGGAAAUGGCACUAAGAUGCACAAAGAAUGUGCAUUCCCUCGAACUAUUCAUCGGGGUACAACGCGCGGUCGUGUUUGGAUUGGGGGAGGUGACUCACAGCUGAGUGCGGGAAUGACCGAAGAUCUGGAUCAAGGUUUCUUGAUGGGUUAAUAGGAUAGAAGAAAUUCCACUUGGCCGGCUCACCGAGGUGUCCUGACUUUCAAUUUGCUGUUGAAUAGAAAUUGUUUAGAAGGAUUGCAGAUUCAUUCUUUGAGCACAUGCAUGCACUGGCAUGUUUCUUGAUUUGUCUUAGAAUCAAGAUCUUGAGAAGUUGUCCAAAUUCCAUAUCAGAAGACUUGGAGAAAUCUCACUGCAUUGAUGCUCAAGGCUGGUCAGCGUCUCAUAUACGUGCCUCCAUUGGGGAAAGCUUAGAGCAUUACAAGAUUUGGACUCAGUUAUCCCUAUUAAAGAAGAAGUACCUGAAGGCUGGAUAAGACUGGUCAAACCUCAAAAGUUUGAAUAUGGAAGGGCGUUACAAUUGGAGAGGUUCCCAAGUGGAACAUUAGCAACUUCCCUCUCCAACGCCUAACACUUUUAACAUUAGGACCCAGUAAGAAUUGCAAGCAGAAGAAUUGGAGAGGUUGAAGGGAGUUGAAAGAAAUUAUACUAUGGCUUUCUGAUAUUGACGGUUUCAAACAAUCGUCAAAUGUCUAUGGCAACCACGAUUUGGGGGCAAUUGGACAAUUAUUCUUUUUUUGUAUAUGUGACGGGGAUUUUGAUGAUAUGAUCACAUUGAUGAUUUCUACUUUAACAAAGUUAUGAUUUUGAGUGGCGCAGUAUAAUUCAAAGGGUAGAAGGAGAUCACUUUGAGUGGGACCAUCCAUCCAGGAGGCCCUUCGACCUUAUCUUGUGAUAAAUUGGGGGGGGGGGGGGGGGGAUUAAUCAUAUUUAAAGCCAUUAUAAGUCCAUUUUGUUAAGGUUUACAUUCUUUAGAACAUUUGUAUAUAUAAAAAAAAAAAAAAAACAGCCUGUAAAAUCGCCGUAUCUUUUAUAAAUAAAAGUAUUCAUUUUAAUUAUGUGUUAUAGCGCUAUGUUUCAAUGGACCGUUUUUAUCUUUAUCCACAUUAUUCUAUGCAAAUAUUUUGGUAUAUGACCCAUCCGGGAUACAAUUAGUGUAUUUUUUAAAACUAUUUUUUUAUUGAUGAACUUUAUUCUUUUGGGUCAAGUUAUUUUUGUUUAUUUUUUAAUUUUUCCUGUCUCUUGGUUGUGAAUCCAAAAACUAAACACAAUAGUUUUUUAUUUUAACAAAUAAACCUAAAAUCCUCAAUUAAAUCAAUCUAAAAUGCGAAUUUUAUUUCGUUUAAAUUUUAAUUUUAGUGGAUUCCUUAUUUUUUCCAAUCCCCAGCAAGAGUACAUCAAAUUAAAAUAUUUGAUCAAAAAUAAAAAAAAUUAACUAAAUACAAAAUAAUUCAGAAAAAUUCUCUUCUUUCAUAAUCACUUUAAUAUUUGUAUAUCCUUAUAAUUGUUACUUCCUAUGAUUGAGUCUAUAUACCUGAUAUGGAAUCUUGGUAAAAGAUAUUUUUUGGGGGUUCUUUGCAUCACAGGUUGCUGGGUAAAUUGGAAGCACUUUUAGGCAACCACUAGUUUUUUUGUCAAUUUAGUUAGUAAUAUUAAAAAAUUGUCCAAAUUAAGGUAGCCAAAACAGCGAUUUCUACGGUUUUUCUAGUCAAAAUGACUAGAAACUAUUCAUUUGGUAAUUAUAUGUUAUUGUUUUUUAUAAGUAGACUGAUAGAGUUAUGUUAAAAAAAUUAUUAACUAAAAUUAAGAAGAUAGUUUGAAAAUUAUAUUUGGCUUAAUUUAUUGAGGCUGAAGUGGAUGCUGAUAUAAGAUUUUUUUAAACUUUGAUUUUCCUUUUUUUUUUUUUUCCUUCCCAUGUAAAAUGAUCAAAGUCGGUCCGUACCAACCAUGGAAUGAUUUGUGGUAGCUAAAUAAUUUAUUUUAAAAUAUUUUUAGAUAAAGUGGAACAAAAAAUCUAAGUUUUUUAUUUGGGGUAAUCUAAAAAAACUAACUAUUUUUUUUUAGAUAAAUAUACUUUCAAAUCACCAAAUAAACUGACAAAAAAACUGACAAAAAAAGCCCCAACUGGAUGCGGAAAACUUAUUCCAACCAAAGUAAAAAAAAAAAAAACUUAACCCCCAAACAGACCAAAGAGGCCCAUCCAAGAAAGGCAACUGUCACGAUCCUAAAUACUUUGGUUUAAAGGUAAUUUUCCAGGUGCUCAAUAAAGCACUGAGACAUUAAUGUCUUCUCUGGCAUUAUUGUAUUUCGUGAUCUUCUUCAAGCUCAUAAAUCCCCCACCUUAGCAUUAUCAGAGUCUUCCGAGUCACCAUUAGCAGUGAGUUGAAAAUUGUUUUGGUAUGAGAGAAGCCAAGAUUGUCUGUCCUCCUUCCACCACUUGCAUUUCCAAUUUGGUGCAGGACUCGUCAAAUCCACCAGCUUUCUUCUGAUACCUUAUAUUCGAUAUGUUGGGUCCGCCCAUGAAGUCCCAGAGAGGAAGCCCAAAAUUGAAGCCAUUGAAAGAAGCCCAAGCCCAAUACCCAAGGCCCCAAGCCUUGCCAUUUCCUUACUUCUUCCUCUCCAGAGCAGCCUUCAUUUAAGCUGUUCAGAGACGAAAGUCUCCAUUUGAGGCUGAGGAAGAAGAAGGCAGAGGAGAAAGAAAGAAUGGCAGAGGCGAAGAACGCUUGCUGCAGAUUGUCAGAUGGAGGCACACUCCUCUAUAUAAGGAGAGCAGAGAAGAGUGCAAAAAGAGAGCGGGGAAAAGAUGUACCCUGGGGGAAUUUGAUAAGGGGCACACAGCCGAAUGCUGUGUGUAGAGGGGUUGGGGGAGUGUCUAUGGUGCUAGUGAGAGCACCGAGAGCACCGAGAUAUCUACUGAGAGUGGGCUAGAAUGGUGCUGUUAUAUCUGAGAGAGACAUGAGAUGGAGAAGAUGAGAGAGUGCUGAGAGGUGAGUGGAGAUGAGCUCCUCCCUAUUUACUCAUUGUAAAUCAUUUCUGUGAUAGUGAAUUAUUUGUUCCUCUCCUUGGAUGGUAGGCAAUUGGCCGAACCACGUAAUCUUUGUCUAGGGGGGGGGUGUGUGUGGUUGAUAUGUCAGAUGUGACUGGUGGCUAGGUUUCUUGGGGCACAACACGAUACAUCUUACAUUUUUUUCCACAAAAAAACACUAAUUAGCAGGCCAAGUGGAAUUGGUUUCGAGAGCAUUUCACCUCUUUUGGUGACUUGAACAGUAUAUAGAGCGCAGUAUUUUAGGAAAUAAAAGCAAAUAUAUAGGCCUCAACCGGAACAAAGUUGAAGGAAAAACGUACUCAGUCCGCCGUCUCCUUCAAUCACUUGCACAUCUUUAACAACGCUUGGCCAUAUUCUUGGAAGGACAAACCUUAGAUCCUUGCCAGAAGCUUUCCAUAUUGCUUCAAUCCCAAUUUAACCUUAACUUGAGUUUUUGCUUCCUUUGCCAUGCCUCUCCAAAGAAAAUCCUUCACUGAAACUUUUGGGGUGUUUGGUAACGAACUUAUAAAGAGACUUGCAAAAAACAGGGCACAGAAGCAUAUUUUCCUGCAUGAGACAAGCAUAGCACGACAGAUGCCCUUUUGUUUGUUCUCUGUUUUUAAAACAGGCCCGAUGGGGAAUCCUACCUAGCCCAUAUUCUGUAGUUUUUCGCCUUAAAAAAAUUAAAAUGAGAAAAGAAGAAGAAGAAUGAUCUCGCACCAUAAUUGCUUGCAAGUCUCAAAACGGCUUUUGUCUGCUUCAAUGUUUUAGUAACUUUUACAAAUGCAGGUAAUUUUCCUCAACAUGAAUGACAACAAAAAAAAAUAAACUAAUAACGAUUUAUUGUGCUUUAUGACAACUAUCAUUCUAAACAAUGAUCGUAGUAGUUUAAAAUUUUACUGGGCGGGACUUCAAAAAACAGUGGAGGUGGUUCAGCGGUACAUCCUGGGUAACAUCCUCCAAGUCUCCGGUUCGAAUCUCCCCAUUACCAAGCUAUAUGGCACUUAGCACACGGUUGGUGGGUUUGAACUUUCCAAGCCUGGGCGAAUCGUGCCUCAGUGUUUGAAGUUGGGUUCAUCCACUGCUAAUUAUGAGCCCGCAACUUUUCCUAUACUUAGUGGAAUGACGGGCUAUGCAACACACACGAGAAGGCCCUAUUAAAGUUUUUAUCCUACUUGUUGAUUCUAUAAUCGAUCACUAAAUGAUUAACGAUCCCAUUUAUAUGUUAACUUCUUGUAAACAUAGUACGAAGCAAAAAGCCAACUCCGAAAUGCACAGGAAAUGGCUCCAGGUAAAAAAAAAAAAAAAUUGAACUAGAAAUUUCAGAUUGCCACUUACUGAGAGUACUAAUUGUGGGAUCAGGCAAAUGUGUUAAAAGAAUGGCAUGUUUUUUUGAAAAAAGAAAGAGAAUGCAAGUUAAGGUGGUUUUUCUUUAUGCAGUUAUGGUAGAGAUGACUAAUUCAAUGACGUUAAUUAAGGUGUGGUUUUUCUUUAUGCAGUUAAGGGUAGAUUGACCUCUUAAUGGCAAGUUAAUUAAAGGGUGUGGUUUUUCUUAAGCAGUUAUGGUCGAGAUGACUAAUUCAAGAUUGAAACAUAAAUCUUACAUGUGAACAGGAUUAAUGAUAAUUAACUACAUAUGGCAGAAAAUAGGUUGGAAUCAAGGUGGUUUUGGUGGAAUUGAACAGCCGUCCAAAGCAACCUAAUGUUUUAAUUCCACAGAUUCACAUGGUUCUACUGUGAACGUGGCCUGAAUAGGAUAGAAGAAAUGAAGAUGAUGGGGCCUUUUAGUUGCACUCUUUAUUACAAACGCCUUUGCUUCUAUCAGUUGCGACCUUGGUCUUCAUACCCGAUUCGUGUCUCCCGUUGGCAGAGUUGCAAGGAUUUGUUUCAGGCAUUUGUUUGUUUUGUUUUUGACUUCUGAUUGUUGACGUCACAAGUCGGUGGGUUUUAUCUCAAACUAGAACAUGUACCCCUGUAGGUGGUUUUACUCCUCAAGACAGAACACAAUUGCACCUCCCAUAUUCUUAAACAAGAUUACAAACCUUAAACUUUUUUAUGAAAACGAGAAGAAAAAAAAGCAAAAGAUCUAAUAGUCCUCCAAUGGUUAAAUCCUUUAAUUUUGUUUAUUAUUUUUAUUACUAAAUCAUUAUCCAAAUACAAGCCCCAAGGUAUAGCAAAUACGAGUCCAAUUAUGUUUACUUAGUGUAAUUGUGAAUGGAGGAGAAAUAAGAAAUAUAAAAAAUAUAAUAAAGGGUCAUUUUUCUGUCUUGAAAAUUGUUUCGAGUAUUUAUGGCAUAUUUUUUACUUAUGAUUACAAAACUGUUUUUUUAAAACUCAAUUUUAAAAUUUUUUAACAUUUACUUUAAAUAAAUAAUUUUUUAACAUAAUUUCAUAUAAUCAAAUAUCAACUAGAAUGAAAAUUACCAAUUAUGGUUGAGAGUACUACUUGCCUAAAAAACAUUUAAAUUGAUAACAAAUUGUCAUUCAAAAAAUAAUACGAUUUUGCAAAUCACCCCUGCUAGGUAAGUGGAAUAAUAAAUAAUUUGACACAUAUUUUCAUAUUUUCUACCAUAAUUCACUAUUUAAUACAAUUGCACCGAUGCUUCCUAUUUAUACACUAGCGUCCUUGCCAUGCUAAAAGGCACUUCCAACAUAAACCCAUUAACAACUCCUAACAUACUAUUCAUCCUCACAAAUUCAAUUCUCCCAAACUCUACUUUCCUCUCUAGCAAAUUAAUCAUUCCUAAAGGUAAUUUUCUAAAUUUAUUUUCAAAAAUCUAACAUUUAUUCUAAAAUUACUUUUUAGGAAUGUAAACAGACAACUUAAAAAUUCAUAAAACUAAAGAACAUUAGAAAAACCACAAAGAGAGAGAUUUACGGUAAAAGAUAGAUAAGAUUGAAACUUACUGGUAAUUUUGUUCUUUUAAAGAGAGGUUACAUUAGAUAAGAGACCUGUUGAGGAAGACUUGUGUGUAAGAUGAGAGUAAGAUUGAAUUUUUUUUUUUAUCUAGAGUUUCAGAUUUUUUUUCCAUUACCCUCUCUUAAAAUUAUAAAUGCCCUUUUAGAAAUUUUUUCUAAUGCUGCUCAUCCUGAAUACAAUUUAUGGCUCCGCCCUCUUCUGCGUCCAACUCAUUAGAUUAAAGACGAAAUUUAAUCUAAAACCUUGAAACAUAGUCCUCUCACAUAUGUUUUAUAUUUAUCAACACUCUUUUUAAUUCCCUCAUUUAAUUAGUUUGCAAUAUUUUAAAAACAUUUUUCAUAAAACAAAAUAGCGUGUAUCAACUACCCAAAGCAAAUCCACGACUCCACUGCUACGCUGUGAUCGCGGGUAAUUUUCAGGUUUUCUUGUGGGACUCAAGUCCUUUGUCGGGUUGUAAGAACUUAAAUCGUUUAUAAUCUAAACGUAUCGUCCCAAAACAUGUCAUUUUGAAGAUCGAAAUUUUUUUAGACACAAAUUAAGUCCAUUUUGAGCAAAACACACCUUCAACGACGUCGUUUUUUCGAGUUCCUGCAGCUCAGUAGGAGGCACUUGACUCGCCAUAGUAACAGGGUCCCCGUUCCUAUUCGGCGGACUCCGUAUCGGGAAAGGUCCCCUUGCAAAAAUUUGCUUCCGUCACAGCUGUAGCACAGAACACGUAAUUAACAGAGUUUGAUGAGCGACAUGUCCCAACAAUUUUCUCAUCUGGCUCCCCUGUGAACACCAACCUGUCAAACUCUUCUCCGUUGCUUUGCUAUUACGUUAAAACCCCUGUAACAUUAUAAUCUCUUCGAUGUUUUCCUCCUAAUUUUUGUCAUUUAAUAAUAGGACCGUGUCAUAGUGUUUUAGUUUUACAAUGAUUGGUCUAGCUACAAGUUUUGAGUCCAAACGGAGAUCAUUUAGGCUAAUUUUACUUAGUUUUUUUAAUUAUUUUUUUUUAGUUUAUAAACCAAAAUGUCAAUCAGGUUGAUUUUUUUUUUUGUUUAUUCUAAAGUAAAUUCAGAAAAAAAUUGGCUUUUUCAUGUGACAAACUUAAAAAAAAAAAGUUUGGCUUUUAAAGGCAGUACCAAACAGAGCCUUAACUUAUAGUUUCCCCCUAAUUAUCCUUAAAAAUUGGCAAAUGUUUUUUAAAGUUAAUGCAACAUGGGUACAUUAUUAACCAUAACCUACCUUUUUAAUUUGAUUCUCAGUAUAUAAAAACCAAAUAUAUGUUUCUCUUCUCUUACAAAUUUAGAAUCCUCAAAAUGGCCGAACAGAACAAAGAGAAUACACUCCUAUUUAGGACUAUUUAUUUUCGAGUUUAUCACAUGCUUCAGGUUUGUAUCUCUAUUUUUAAUUAUUUCAUAACCUAUUUAAUAAAACUUGUGGGCCACCCGCUCCAUACUACCGGUUAUCGAUACGCCUUUUAUGUACCGAACGCCAUUGACUUCAUACGGCUAUAAGUUGAGUUUAGAAUUGUUUUGUCUUUUCUGGCUAUGUUUAACUGUAGAUGAUAGAUUUAUUUAGAUUUUUAAUAUAACAGCUUUGACUUUUGAGUUUUUUUAUUUUUAGUGAAUAUUUUUAUGGUU